CUAACUACCAUGCUCCCUCAGGGUUCCCAUAAUUCCCAGCAUUGAUACAUCAUAGAGUAAUCACACUAUGAUGUGGCUGUGCUGGGAAUUGUGGGAACCGCGAGGGAGCAUGGUAGUUA